GACGAACGCUGGCGGCGUGCUUAACACAUGCAAGUCGAACGAUGAACUUGGAGCUUGCUCUGGGGGAUUAGUGGCGAACGGGUGAGUAUCACGUGAGUAACCUGCCCUGGACUCUGGGAUAACUUCGAGAAAUCGGAGCUAAUACCGGAUAGGACCUUGCACCGCAUGGUGUGGGGUGGAAAGGUUUUCGGCUUGGGAUGGACUCGCGGCCUAUCAGCUUGUUGGUGAGGUAAUGGCUCACCGAGGCGUCGACGGGUAGCCGGCCUGAGAGGGUGACCGGCCACACUGGGAGUGAGACACGGCCCAGACUCCUACGGGAGGCAGCAGUGGGGAAUAUUGCACGAUGGGCGCAAGCCUGAUGCAGCAACGCCGCGUGCGGGAUGACGGCCUUCGGGUUGUAAACCGCUUUUAGUAGGGAAGAAGCCUUCGGGUGACGGUACCUGCAGAAAAGGGACCGGCUAACUACGUGCCAGCCGCCGCAGUAAAAC
rnacentral:rRNA from 1 species